rnacentral:rRNA from 1 species
GACAGAGGGUGCAAACGUUGUUCGGAAUUACUGGGCGUAAAGCGCGUGUAGGCGGCUAAGCAAGUCGGGCGUGAAAUCCCACCGCUCAACGGUGGAAGUGCACCCGAAACUGCAUAGCUAGAGUCCUGGAGAGGAAGGUGGAAUGCUUGGUGUAGAGGUGAAAUUCGUAGAUAUCAAGCGGAACACCGGUGGCGAAGGCGGCCUUCUGGACAGUGACUGACGCUGAGACGCGAAAGCGUGGGGGGCAAACAGG